ACGUACACUCCUACGGGAGGCAGCAGUGGGGAAUUUUGGACAAUGGGCGAAAGCCUGAUCCAGCCAUGCCGCGUGCAGGAUGAAGGCCUUCGGGUUGUAAACUGCUUUUGUACGGAACGAAACGGCCUUUUCUAAUAAAGAGGGCUAAUGACGGUACCGUAAGAAUAAGCACCGGCUAACUACGUGCCAGCAGCCGCGGUAAUACGUAGGGUGCAAGCGUUAAUCGGAAUUACUGGGCGUAAAGCGUGCGCAGGCGGUUAUGUAAGACAGUUGUGAAAUCCCCGGGCUCAACCUGGGAACUGCAUCUGUGACUGCAUAGCUAGAGUACGGUAGAGGGGGAUGGAAUUCCGCGUGUAGCAGUGAAAUGCGUAGAUAUGCGGAGGAACACCGAUGGCGAAGGCAAUCCCCUGGACCUGUACUGACGCUCAUGCACGAAAGCGUGGGGAGCAAACAGGAUUAGAAACCCUUGUAGUCCCAUGAU
rnacentral:rRNA from 1 species